rnacentral:rRNA from 1 species
CGCCUUCCCCUAUCUCCCUGUCAGCCACCUCCACCACCCCCACGCUUCUCCUCACCACAACAGAUCCCUUCGCCGCCGCCCUCGCACUCGCACCAAGCCGCCGCCGAUCCCUGCGUCCCAGCGGAUCCGUUCGUCGCUGCCGAUCCUUCGCUGCCGUCGAUCUCGUUGCUACAUCGACGGCAACCAGGGGUCGUCCUCCGCCCGGCCGCGGCGGAGACCAAGCAGGAGUCCUCCAAGGAUGACUCCCGCGGGAUCAUCCUGAUCCUGUUCGAGAAGUUCGGCUUCUCCCACCGCGGGUCCGUCUCCAUCGCGCUCACCGGCGCCAGGGCUGCCUCCAAGCUCGCCAAGCCGGACCCUUCGCAGCUCGGCUUCUUCCUUUGA